AGGCAGCCUCCUUGCGACGAUAAAAUGGCAUGAGUGGCGUUAUUCUGCUCAUAGAUCACAUUUUCUGCUCUUCAGACUUGCUGAGUUGGAUAUUAAAAUCCUAUCUCUGAAGUUGGUCUAGUAAGCUCAAGUACAUU